rnacentral:rRNA from 1 species
GACGAACGCUGACGGCGUGCCUAACACAUGCAAGUCGAAGAUAGCAAUAUCUUGGCGCACGGGUGAGUAACGCGUAGACAAUCUGCCCCCAUCUCUGACAUAACAUUGGGAAACUGGUGAUAAUAUCAGAUGAGGUGGAAACAUCAAAGUAUUUAUAUGGAUGGGGAUGAGUCUGCGUCUGAUUAGCUAGUUGGUAAGGUAACGGCUUACCAAGGCAACGAUCAGUAGCUGGUCUGAGAGGACGAUCAGCCACACUGGAACUGAGACACGGUCCAGACUCCUACGGGAGGCAGCAGUGAGGAAUUUUGCACAAUGGAGGUAACUCUGAUGCAGCGACGCCGUGUGUAGGAUGAAGGGCUCUGCCUUGUAAACUACUGUCGGAUAGGAAUAAAAGUUGGUUGCCCAACUGGAAUGUACUAU